UAGAUAAUGGCAGAAAUGACACACAUGAGCUUGUGGAGUGCAUGGGCCCAACCACUGAUAUUGGUUUAAAAUUAUUUAUGCUCAAGGACCAACUUGCUCAGCCAAUUGAACACAUGCAUAUACAGGUCCUCUGAAUUAAACCUCUUUUGUGGUAUAUGAUGGACAUAUUUUAUGUUUUGAAAUCACUCAAAAGUUACCUUUUGCAGCGUCGGUGCAGCAGCAGCCUUGUGAUGCAGUUACAAUGGGCAAUAUGAGUUAAACUACUUGAGCUUCAUUACACACCUCGGUGCAAUAGGGAUUUAGAUUUCCUUUUUGAGUUAAUUGUGCUUAGAAUCAGUACUUAGUCACAUUAUCACCAUUUGUGCAGAAUAUGUCUUAAAGAAGAUGUUGCAGUUUUCAGAUUACUACACAAGAGAGAGGAUCAGGCAUAUUCAAUGGUAGGAGAAUUACUCCUUCACAUCCUGCCAGUUGUAAGAUAUACUCCUGCUAAUUGGAGUAGUGUAUAAAAAAUUUCAAACAAUUAUUUCAUGAGAUAAUCUGUGUUCGGGUACGAAUUGGAUAGCUAAGUCCGAAUUUGAAGUGGUUUUAUUUUGGCGUUCAUUGAGUAUACUCUCUAGGAACUAGAUUGAAAGUGGAUGGAUUUCCUGAUCUACGUCGGGUAUGGAAUGUUCUUAUAAAAUUCUGGCACAAGUGUUACAUGAUUUCCCUGUCAUUUCUUAAUAUGCUUUAUCAAGCAUUAGCAUUUUGGAGCUUUUGUUUCUUCUACUUAUUGAUCGUGUGUUUCUCUCUUCACAACAACAACAAACAACAACAAAGCCUUUAGUCCCAAACAAGUUGGGGUAGGCUAGAGGUGAAACCCAUAAGAUCUCGCAACCAACUCAUGGCUCUGGCACAUGGAUAGCAAGCUUCCACGCACCCCUGUCCAUAGCUAGCUCUUUGUCGAUACUCCAAUCCUUCAGGUCUCUCUUAACGGACUCCUCCCAUGUCAAAAUCGGUCGACCCCGCCCUCUCUUGACAUUCUCCACACGCUUUAGCCGUCCGCUAUGCACUGGAGCUUCUGGAGGCCUGCGCUGAAUAUGCCCAAACCAUCUCAAACGAUGUUGGACAAGCUUCUCCUCAAUUGGUGCUACCCCAACUCUAUCUCGUAUAUCAUCAUUCCGGACUCGAUCCUUCCUCGUGUGGCCACACAUCCAUCUCAACAUACGCAUCUCCGCCACACCUAACUGGUGAACAUGUCGCCUUUUAGUCGGCCAACACUCCGCGCCAUACAACAUUGCGGGUCGAACCGCCGUCCUGUAGAACUUGCCUUUUAGCUUUUGUUGCACUCUCUUGUCACAAAGAAUGCCAGAAGCUUGGCGCCACUUCAUCCAUCCGGCUUUGAUUCGAUGGUUCACAUCUUCAUCAAUACCCCCAUCCUCCUGCAACAUUGACCCCAAAUACCGAAAGGUGUCCUUCCGAGGUACCACCUGGCCAUCAAGGCUAACCUCCUCCUCCUCACAGCUAGUAGUACUGAAACCGCACAUCAUGUACUCGGUUUUAGUUCUACUAAGCCUAAACCCUUUCGAUUCCAAGGUUUGUCUCCAUAACUCUAACUUCCUAUUUACCCCCGUCCGACUAUCGUCAACUAGCACCACAUCAUCCGCAAAGAGCAUACACCAUGGGAUAUCUCCUUGUAUACCCCUUGUGACCUCAUCCAUCACCAAUGCAAAAAGAUAAGGGCUCAAAGCUGACCCCUGAUGCAGUCCUAUCUUAAUCGGGAAGUCAUCGGUGUCGACAUCACUUGUUCGAACACUUGUCACAACAUUAUUGUACAUGUCCUUGAUGAGGGUAAUGUACUUUGCUGGGACUUUGUGUUUCUCCAAGGCCCACCACAUGACAUUCCGCGGUAUCUUAUCAUAGGCCUUCUCCAAGUCAAUGAACACCAUAUGCAAGUCCUUCUUAUGCUCCCUAUAUCUCUCCAUAAGUUGUCGUAUCAAGAAAAUGGCUUCCAUGGUCGACCUCCCAGGCAUGAAACCAAACUGAUUUUUGGUCACGCUUGUCAUUCUUCUUAAGCGGUGCUCAAUGACUCUCUCCCAUAGCUUCAUUGUAUGGCUCAUCAGCUUAAUUCCACGGUAAUUAGUACAACUCUGAACAUCCCCCUUGUUCUUGAAGAUUGGUACUAAUAUACUCCGUCUCCAUUCUUCUGGCAUCUUGUUUGCCCGAAAAAUGAGGUUGAAAAGCUUGGUUAGCCAUACUAUCGCUAUGUCCCCGAGACCUUUCCACACCUCAAUGGGGAUACAAUCAGGGCCCAUCGCCUUGCCUCCUUUCAUCCUUUUUAAAGCCUCCUUCACCUCAGACUCCUGGAUGCGCCGCACAAAACGCAUGCUGGUCUCAUCAAAGGAGUCAUUCAGUUCAAUGGUAGAACUCUCAUUCUCCCCAUUGAACAGCUUGUCGAAGUACUCCCGCCAUCUAUGCUUAAUCUCUUCGUCCUUCACCAAGAGUUGGCCUGCUCCGUCCUUGAUGCAUUUGACUUGGCCAAUAUCCCUCGUCUUCCUCUCCCGGAUCUUAGCCAUCUUAUAGAUGUCCCUUUCACCUUCCUUCGUGCCUAACCGUUGGUAGAGGUCCUCAUAUGCCCGCCCCCUUGCUUCACCAACAGCUUGCUUUGCGGCCUUCUUCGCCAUCUUGUACUUCUCUAUGUUGUCUGCACUCCUAUCCAGGUAUAGGCGUCUGAAGCAAUCUUUCUUCUCUUUAAGCGCCUUCUGGACAUCAUCAUUCCACCACCAGGUAUCCUUAUCUUCGCUUCUCCUUCCCCUGGACACUCCAAACUCCUCUGAGGCCACCUUACGAAUGCAAGUCGCCAUAUUCAUCCACACAUUGUCCGCAUCCCCUCCUUCCUCCCAAGGGCCCUCCUUAAAUACCCUCUCCUUGAACACCUGAGCUACCUCCCCCUUGAGCUUCCACCACUUCGUUCUAGCGACCUUGGCACGCUUAUCCCGCUGGACACGAAUCCGAAAGCGGAAGUCAGCAACCACCAGCUUAUGCUGGGGUACAACACUCUCGCCAGGUAUCACCUUACAGUCUAGGCACGCACGCCUAUCUUCUCUUCUCGAGAGGAUGAAAUCAAUCUGGCUAGAGUGUUGGCCACUACUAAAAGUCACCAGAUGUGAUUCUCUCUUUCUAAAGAGGGUGUUAGCUACAAUCAUGUUGUAGGCUAGAGCAAAGCUUAAGACAUCUUCUCCUUCUUGAUUCCUGAUGCCAUAGCCAAAGCCCCCAUGCGCCCCUUCAAAACCUGUGUUAGAUGUACCCACGUGGCCAUUGAGGUCUCCUCCUAUGAAGAGCUUCUCACCAAUCGGUACACUCCUAACCAUGUCUUCCAAGCCUUCCCAGAACUCCCUCUUGGUGUUCUCAUUGUGGCCUACUUGCAGGGCAUAUGCGCUGAUAACAUUGAGAACCAAGUCCUCAGCUACCAGCUUGACCAGGAUAAUCCGGUCCCCACGUCUCCUGACGUCUACCACUCCAUACUUGAGGCUCUUGUUGAUCAAGAUGCCUACGCCAUUUCUGUUUGCAGCCGUCCCCGUGUACCACAGCUUGAAGCCGGUAUCCUCCACCUCCUUCGCCUUCUGUCCUCUCCAUUUGGUUUCUUGGACGCAAAGGAUAUCAACGCCUCUCCUCACUGCUGCAUCAACUAGCUCCCGAAGCUUCCCUGUCAGAGACCCUACGUUCCAGCUACCUAAGCGAAUCCUCCUAGGCUCGGCUAGCUUCCUUACCCUUCGCACUCGUCGAGUCAAAUGCGAAGACCCUUGCUCAUUUUCCACUACAUCCGGGCGCCGAUGUAGCGCGCCACUAAGGAUGCGACGACCCGAUCCUCGCUCACUUGCCACCGUAUCCGGAUCAAGAUACGGCGCGCCACUUGGGGGGUGACGGCCCGGCCCUUGCCCAUUUUCCACCACACCCGGGUUCCAAUGUGGCGCGUCGCUGAGAGGGUUACGCCCCAACGAAAAUCUUUUGGGUUUCAUCUCCAUAAGAGUGGCUGAGUUUUUACGUUGGCUCGCCAAGCCUAUCACAACCCUCCUCCUUUACCCGGGCUUGGGACCGGCUAUGUUGAGACAACAUAGGCGGAGUUUGUUUCUCUCUUCACAGCCAUGAACAAAAGUCAUGGUCUCUCUGUGUUCUCCAUAUUAAUUCUUCAAAAGUGAAAAUCAAAAUACUGAAGAUUGCAACCCUUCCUAUAUUACUAUUCUCCAUCAUUGUUUGUGGGAAGAAUAUGAAAUUUUAAAUAUUACAUCCGCAGCAGAUGGCAAUGAACUUUGUUUGCAUUUCCUACUCCCGUUGAGAACUUUACUACUGAGCAUGUGUUCUCAAUUUCUUUUUUAAAAUAUGACUAUGAUUGUUAAUAGCUUUUUAAAUGGCAUAUUUUUUAUGUAGGAAAAAUUGCCAAAAUUACCCACAAUAAGAGCGGUUGCCUUUUCAUCCAUGAAAAAAACAUAAUAUCUCUUUGUGAUUGUAGAUGAGCGCAGUAAUGAGUCAUGUAUAUUAUGAACCUGUGAUUGUUGUAUAUUACAAACCUGUGAUUGUGAACCUGUAAAGUAUAAGUUGAUGAAAACUAUUUGAGCAGGAACAUCAUCAAACAUAUAGUCUUAAUUGUUUGUGUGUAUGCUUAGUUAGAACAUGAUAGGACCUCCACCGUGAUAUAGGAACAAGUCAAGCUUCUUGUUGUAUAUAGUCUUAAUUGUUUGUGUGUAUGCUUAGUUAAAACAUGAUAGGACCUCCACCGUGAUAUAGGAACAAGUCAAGCUUCUUGUUGUUAGACAAACUGGGAAACCUCUUGCUAGGUUAUGGCCUUUGUUGCACCUUCCCUUGCCAUCCCUUUUUAGCUCAGUUCUCUACUUUAGCCUGUAAUGAUCAUUUAAGUCGUCCAAGGAAGAGAUGUUACAGGGUCUUUUCUUUCCAUUACAAUUUACAUGGUAGAUACCUGUGAACUUGUUGCAUAUGUCAUAAGGGUGGAUCUAAACUUUGUUUAUUUAAUCUUUGUCAUGAAUGAUUGCUAUAUUUCGUUCUUUACGUCAGCUUGCAGGGUUUUUUGCAUGUCCUGCUAUUUUGUUUUAUUUCGCAACAUUUCCCGAUGUCCUCAAACUGAUCUCAUUGGAUGAUCUGAAAGAUGAAAAAUUUCAUGGAAAACUGUGCAGCUUAAAACAUACAUUUUCUGCAAACCAUCAAGCGGUGGAAAGGGACCAAUAUUCUUUAUAUUGGAUUUCAUGGUCAUUUAUGAUACAACAAAAUGGAAUUGUUUCAUGUUUGCCCUGCAUAUUGCAAUAUAUGGAGUUACUUCUCCAGUUGGGACCACAAUCAGUUUUUUCUCAUCAUAUACCUUUGAAAUAUUGCUUUCUAUCAAUAUUUUUGCCCUAUUAUAACUACACUAUCUUUUAGCGAUGUUGUCUAUUGGCUUCACUGCAUAUGGAAGAACUGCUGAAGGGUAUUGUAUGAUGACGCAACAAAUGCCUAUAUUGGACAGCAUUUUCCUUGCUAGAGAAAAAUACUGAAGGAAAUAUUACUGGAGACGUGUGUAGACAUCAUUUUUGUACAUUUGACUGAAGGUUAAUUGAGAAUGGUGUCCAGUAUAGGCAUUUGCUAGAGAAGAAUACUGGAGGAAAUAUUGAGACGUCUAUUGUCUAUAUAUACUGCACAUUUGACUGAUGAUGAUUUUUUUGCCCUCUAAUUGACUAAUUUUGUUUUACUAAUACUUUGGUUCUUUGGCAGGUUUCCAAAAUUGCAGCAGAUUAUAUGUGAGGUGGUUUCCUGUACAUUUGACUGAAGAUUAUUUGAGAAUAGAUACAAAUUCAUAGUGUCGAUCGAUGUCAUUAUCCUAGAAAACUUAGAAAUACUUUACAUGCUUUUAGUGCUAGCUUUUGUAAAAAUAAACCCGAAGCCGUGUACUUUUAAGAUUUUACAUGUAUAAAACUAAAAAUUGAAGUGGAUUAAGUUUUUUGUUGCGUUCUUCUGUAGGGAUCUGUGUCAAUGAAAGAACAGGAGCUUAACUGGCCCAUGAACCAAAUGAAUGUGCAUUGAGCACAAGUCAGAACUAAUGGUCUGACAAACGGCGCAGCAAAGCACGCGUACGCUUCUAGUGAAAACUAUGGCCCUAAGUCUAUCUUUUAUCAUAUUGUUUUUAGAUCUACAAAAUCAAAAACACAAAAAUACUUUGCUGCAAUUUAUUGACUUUUAUUUUGUUUGCACUUUUACUUAUCUUUUAUAUCCAUCCCUAUCAGAUCUCAUCCUUGCAAGUAACCGUGAACGUAUUGACAACCCCUUUAUCGCGUUGGGUGAAAGUAUUUGUUUGCUUGUGUAGGUACAACUAUUGGAGACAUGUGUGCUCCUCCUACUAGAUUGAUACCUUCAUUCUCAGCUGAGGGAAAUACUUAUCUCUACUUUGUUGCAUCAUCCUUUCCUCUUCAAGAAAAAAACCAACGCAAGCUCAAGAAGUAGCAGGAAAAAAUUGUGGCGCCAUUACCGGGGAGGAUCUACAUCAAGCUUAUCAAGUACCUAUCAUAAAUUCUCAUCUUUUGAAUUUACAUUAUUUGUCAUUUUUCUCUCGUUUUCAUCUCCCCCACUUCUAAAACAUUUUCAGAAAAAAUACAAAAAUAUUUGCCUUUUUCCGUUUGCCUUUUUGUUUGCCUUUAUGUGUUACUUAGUUUGUUUACUUGUUCGCUUGGCAUAAUUGUAUGUUUAUUGCAAAUUAGAAGUAAAAAAGUUUAUGGAUCCUCACCCACUUGCUAUUUUUUUUAAAUAUCUAAUUAUGAUGAACCAAUUGCUAGUGGGUUGAGUGCACUAGAUUAUCUUUAUGAAGUUUUGCUUGAAAUUUGUGAAUCUAAAAAUUGUGAUAAAGUGCUAAAAGAAGAAAUUUAUGAAGUGAUUAAUGAUAGCUACUUGAAUGAAAAGCAUGAUUGCAACGGUGUUACUAUAAAUUCUAUUAAUGUCAAUUGUGAUAAUAAUAUGCAAAACUCGAAGUUUGGGUAUGCUAAUUUUGAUAUGUCCAUUACUUAUUGCAAUGAUCAUAAUUAGGGUGAUUCUUCUUAUGAUCUUGAAGAUUUAUUUAAGCCUCGUAACGAAUAUGUUUGCGAUAAUAUUGAAAGUGAGUUUGGAAGAGUUCCAACUUUAGGUAAUAAUGAUCCCACUACUUUGUAGAAUGAUCAAUCUUAUGAAAUUUUUGAUAAAAAUGGGCUUGGAGAGGUCGUGACUUUAUUUGAUGAUAAUCCCGAUAUUUUGGAAGGUUGUCAACUUUUCAUGCAUGUGGAUCAUGUAGAGAAUAUGUUAUGUGCUAGCUAUAUUGUUGAAUUUGAUUAUGAUCCUAUAUGUAUUUAUUAUAAGAGAGCAAAAUAUGGUUGUAGAAGUUUUCAUGUUACUAAAUUACCUUCCGUUAUGUUGAGAUUGUCAAUGUUUUAUUCCUCUCCUUUGCAUAUGUUAGAUAUUUCUUGUCUUGAUAAUUUGUUUGCUUAUAAAAUUCCUAUGCAUAUGAAGCAUGUUAGACUUUAAUUUGUUUAUCACAUGUUUUAUGAUUCUCUCUUUGUGUUUCAAUUAUUACCUUUCAUGUGAGUAUCAUUGAAAUCUCAAUGCCUAGCUAAAAUGCUUUAAAGAAAAGCGUUUAUUGGGAGACAACCUAAUAUUUUUAUUUUCUAUUUUUAAAUAAUUUACCAUUAUAAUUCUGUUAUGAUGGUGAUAUUGAGUUUAAAUUAGUGUUUGUGCCAGUAAGACCUUUGGGAUUGUCGGGGAAAAUAUACAGGGGCAUGCAUUUUCCCCUCGUGCAUGGACAAGCACCAGCUCAAGUCAAAGAGUGAAGAACCAAGAGACUUGAAGAACCAACAUGCAGCUUAGAGAGACCAAGAUCAAGCCAGAAGAAUGAGAUAUCUACAAGAGAAGGGCCUCCCUUGUCGGGCAGGCGAGCCCGACAAGGGGCGAGGCCACCACCAGAAGCAUGCAACCAAGACUC
rnacentral:lncRNA from 1 species